AUACGGAGGAUCCAAGCGUUAUCCGGAUUUAUUGGGUUUAAAGGGAGCGCAGGCGGAGAUGCAAGCGUGACGUCAAAUUUCGGGGCUCAACCCCGUCUCGCGUCGCGAACUGCGUCCCUUGGUUGCGGGAAGGGGAGGCGGAACUCGUGGUGUAGCGGUGAAAUGCAUAGAUAUCACGAAGAACUCCGAUCGCGAAGGCAGCCUUCCGGCCCGUCAACGACGCUCAUGCUCGAAGGUGCGGGUAUCAAACAGGAUUAGAUACCCUGGUAGUCCGCACAGUAAACGAUGGACACCCGCGGUUUGGCCUAUAUGGCUGAGCCGCCAAGCGAAAGCGUUAAGUGUCCCACCUGGGGAGUACGCCGGCAACGGUGAAACUCAAAUGAAUUGACGGGG
rnacentral:rRNA from 1 species